GCCUUUAUAGCUCAACGGUAGAGCAUAAUACUGUUAAUAUUAUGAUAGGGGUUCGAUUCCCCUUAAGGGCU
rnacentral:tRNA from 1 species